rnacentral:rRNA from 1 species
UACAGAGACUGCAAGCGUUGUUCGGAGUUACUGGGCGUAAAGAGUGCGUAGGCGGUGCCCUAAGUCUGUUGUGAAAUCUCCCGGCUUAACUGGGAGGGUGCGGUGGAAACUGGGGUGCUUGAGUGUGGGAGAGGUUAGCGGAAUUCCUGGUGUAGCGGUGAAAUGCGUAGAUAUCAGGAGGAACACCGGUGGUGUAGACGGCUAACUGGACCACGACUGACGCUGAGGCACGAAAGCGUGGGUAGCAAACAGG